rnacentral:rRNA from 1 species
UGCGUAGGCGGGCAGAUAAGUCAGUGGUGAAAUCUCUAGGCUUAACCUAGAAACUGCCGUUGAUACUAUUUGUCUUGAAUAUCAUGGAGGUAAGCGGAAUAUGUCAUGUAGCGGUGAAAUGCUUAGAUAUGACAUAGAACACCGAUAGCGAAGGCAGCUUACUACAUGUUCAUUGACGCUGAGGCACGAAAGCGUGGGGAGCAAACA